AAGUCGUAACAAGGUUUCCGUAGGUGAACCUGCGGAAGGAUCAUUACCUAGAGUUUGUGGGCUUUGCCCGCUACCUCUUACCCAUGUCUUUUGAGUACUUACGUUUCCUCGGCGGGUUCGCCCGCCGACUGGACAAAAUUAAACCCUUUGCAGUUGCAAUCAGCGUCUGAAAAACAUAAUAGUUACAACUUUCAACAACGGAUCUCUUGGUUCUG
rnacentral:misc_RNA from 1 species